rnacentral:lncRNA from 1 species
ACACAGAGCUUUCCAAACUCAGCCCUGGGCACAUCUGUUCCUUCAUCCAGGCUUUCCACCCUGCGUGGCUCUCACCCUUGUGUGUCCGUCCUUGUUUCUUAGAGGAGUCGUGUGCCUCCAAAUGCAUAUGCCUACGACCUUUUCUUUCUCUUGCCUGAAAUGCCAAACUUCAUUCUCCAUCAGGUGAAUUCCAACUCACCCCUGAAGAUGAGCUCAACUGUCUCUCUUGUGUGAAGCCUUCCCUGACACCCCUGAGAAUUUUCCAUCCACGUCACCACAGAGUAAUGUCCAUCCUCCUGUAGAACCAUUCACUCAUCACAGGGUAAUGAGGAAAAUGAGGCAGCCAGAUGGAGUCCCAGCAAAAGCAGACUUCAGGCAGAAGGAACGGCAAGUCCAGGGCUCUGGAUGAGAGAAGAUCAACAACAGGAGACAGAGGGACCCCUCUAGAGGCAGGAGGAAAGAUAAAUGGCCACAGGCUGCUGUCAUCUAGGCCAGGGUUCUGGCAGCAAUGAAAACACGUCUGCAGGAGGAGAAAGAAGUGCUUUUGAAUCCAUCUUACUCAUCGUCUGUCUCUUGUCUCUUCAAAGUGAAUGCAGUUGGAAGGAAAGGGACAGGUUGGUUCUGUGCUUUGCCCAAGUAGGUCCAAAUUCUGUUUUUUUUCAGGAUGUAGCAGGGUGAGCUGUUCUGACAAACUUGAUCUUAGCACAACAGGGGCAGUAAGGUCAUCAUCCCCACCAGUCCUUUGCCCUAGGAUUACAGGACCUGCCCCCAGAGGGACAGGAGCUCAUCCUACACUGUCCCAGUGUUUCUGUGAAACACCUUAGCUCCCUGGCUGAUUCCCCAGUGGCUCAGGGGCCCAGGGAGCCUCCUCACACCCAAGGUCCCUGUCCCCAGGUGUGGGGGAUCCCUAUGUAUGACAUUGUGGGUGACUGGGACUCCUCACUGAACAGGAUCAGUAAAGGGCCUGCCUGGCUCUAGGCACUCAUUCAGCUGCACUGGAAUUUGGAGAAAGAGGCUGCAGAAUACACCCCUAGCCCUAAUUAGGAAAGAAACAGAGUGGUCUUGAGUCAACUCCUGAAAGCUGUGUGUGCCCUGGAUCAAUGGCCCACGGGACAUGUAGAACAGAGGCAGGAAGUCCCACUGUAAAUGGCAGACUUCAGUUUCCAGGACUUAGAUUCCACUGGGAAGCAGCUGUCCAAUUCACAAAAUUGUCAGUGAUCAAAAUAAAUAUAAUAAAGUAGUUCAUUUUAAGCAAUGCAAAGAAAGCUGAGUGGCAGAUAAAGCUAAAGAUGAGCUCCAGAUGCCACCAGGCAUAGCACGUGGAGGGACUGCAUACCCGCGUCCAGCGUAACUUACAACUCCUGGAAUGCUGGGACUGUGCAGUGUUAAUUCUAAUGGCCCAUGGAGGCAUAAUUAAUUAACCUUUCAGUUACUCUGGGCACUGCCCUUAUCCAAACAUAAAUAUGUGUAUGCCGGGAAAAUUUUGCAAUAUAGAAAGCCGACAUCGUUGACUCCUUAUUCAUAGGCAAAUCCAGUGCUUUUCAAUUUUGACUGUGCAGCAGAAUCACCGAUGGAUUUUAUUUUUAAAAUAGGGGUACGUAUGUCUCAUCUCACCCAGGGUGAGGUCCAUGGAUCUAAUGUUAUGAAGCCCACAGUGGGUCCCAAAUCCCAGCUGAGCUCCAGGACUAGGAAUGUCACCCAGCCUCCCUGCUGUAGAGCUGCACCAUGGCUUUCGUUCUUCCCGUGGUGGAAACAAAGCUUGCCUAGAGUUUCUGGAUGCAGCAUCUCUCCGAAAACAAGCUGGGGCUCUGCCGCCCUCACUGGAGCACAGCCAGUGCUGUGGAGCCCCCAGAGUGGCCACAGGGAUAGAGGGGACUUAAAACUGAGUAGGGGGCAACAGAGUUGGGGGUCUAUCCACCACAUGUGGACACACAGCAAGUCAGGCAUGUGGGAAGGAGGGAACAGCAGCGUGGAAUGGAAAUGGCAAAUGUUCAUCCAGCCAGGUGUUAUUUUAUUUAUGGCUUCUGGGGAAAUGGGAUGAACAAUUUCAGAACAGCCUUGGGUUGAACUUGAUGCUGCAAAUGGAACUUAAUUGCUCAAAUAAUGUCAUAUCAAUUUCAUAUAAAUGAUAAAGAAGGAAAGUCCCUCUUUCUAGAGAGAAAACUCUCCUGACGGCAUCAGGCUGUCCUGGGAAGUCACUGCUUCCCUUUUCUGUUGUGGGGCAUAACGGGAGAUGAAGCUGGGAAUUGACAAUCUCUUUUUUCUGCUGGACUGAAACCUCCUGGAGCAGAAAAAUAGUUUUUUAUUUUGCAAAUGAAAGUCAAAGAUGUGGCAGGAGUUGAGGGUGGGCAUUGCAAGAGCUAAAUCCGGUGCUUCUGACAGCCCAGCCCUAGUGAGAGGCCCCUUCUGAGAGUCCCAGGGACUCUUAUGUAAAUGAAACUCAAAUAGAGCUCCCCACAGCACCUGAGCUUAGGGUCACCAGGCUCUGGGACUCUGUAUGUGCUCCCAGGAGAUUCCAUCCCCAGGAUAACACUGCAGGUCAAUUUGUGCUUUUCCUACCAUGCAAACCAUACUCUGGUAACUGUGCAGGAUUCUAAGAAAUAAACUUAUUGA